GGCAAAAUUGAUGCCCUUCUCAAGAGCGUUAUGUCUUUUCCUUUCCUGGUGUUCCAGGCAUGCAGCAGGUGCUUGGAGAAUAUUUCUUAUCUUUGUCUCAUUACUGUCUAUGAGUAAAUCUGCAGGCUGUUUUCCAGGAAAGAGGCAAGCAGGAGAGACCUAUGUGGAUGGCAAGGAACUGAGGGCACCUCCUGCCACCUGUCAGCAAGAAGUGAGGCCCUCUGUCCAACAGCCUCCGAUGAACUGAAUGCUCCCCACACCACAAGGGUGAGCUUUGACGUGGAUCCCUCCCCAGUUGAACCUUCAGGCAAGACCGCAGCCCAGGCCGACACCUGCCCUGUGAUGGAUCCUGAGCAGAGGAGCCAGGGAAGCCACACCUGGAUCCCUGCCCCACCAAAAGUGUGAGAACAGAAGAGGAGUUGGAGGGGCUGUGGCUAGAGUGGGGUGUGAUAUGACUGAUGACACAUGCCUCCAUCGGGGGCAAGCAAGUGUCCUUGACAGGCCAGCAUGGAGCCCACCGCAGCAGGGCCCUGGGAGGUGAAACAAGGCAGGGACGAUACACUUUUGGAGUAAGGCACGCUCCUUCCUCACCUCUGGACCUCCGCUCUGCUCCGCCUCCCCUGACUCUGUGUCUCAGCUGCCCCGAGAGGCCCAUGGGGACCGCAGAAGGUUCUUUCUGGACACUGAAAACAUGUCUCACCCGUUCCCCACCCCAUUUCUCAAAAAGCCUCAGCGCUGGAUUGAAAAGCACAUUGCAACAGGAUGAUUGAGGGAAGGUAAUUAUGUAUUAUUAAAUGCAAAACAAAAAAAGAGAGAGAGAGAGAGAGAGAGAGAGGAAAAUUGUUCUUUGCAACACCCCUAUGGCUUGGCAGAAAUGAAAAUAGCAAAAUGCUAAAAUGGUUUUCCUGCCAGUGGGAUGAAUGGAUGCCUGCCCCCUUGAUUUGGGGUCAUUGGCUGCAGGGACUGCGCUCAGCACCAGUGGAGACCCUGAGGAGUGGGGACGGAUGGCUCCAGCGUGGGGGUCUUUGUGGGGACGUGGGCCGCAGAAAGGGAGGGGUAUAGAAGCCCGGAGGAGAUGUUUUCUUGUUCCCUUGGCUCGGAAGGUGGGUGGUCUCUGUGUCUUUGGUUAAGACCUUUCUGGGUAAGAUGAGGGUGAUGAUACCCAAACGUCAAAAUCAUACCCCACGUGGCCCAGCACUUUAAAGUUUACAAAGUGCAGGGGCACCUGGGUGGCUCCGUCGGUUGAGCGGCCGACUUCAGCUCAGGUCAUGAUCUCACGGUCCGUAAGUUCGAGCCCCAUGUCGGGCUCUGUGCUGACAGCUCAGAGCCUGGAACCUGCUUCCGAUCCUGUGUCUCCCUCUCUCUCUGCCCCUCCCCCACUCACACUCUG